GACUGCCUACGGGGGGCAGCAGUAGGGAAUCUUCCACAAUGGACGAAAGUCUGAUGGAGCAACGCCGCGUGAGUGAAGAAGGGUUUCGGCUCGUAAAGCUCUGUUGGUAGUGAAGAAAGAUAGAGGUAGUAACUGGCCUUUAUUUGACGGUAAUUACUUAGAAAGUCACGGCUAACUACGUGCCAGCAGCCGCGGUAAUACGUAGGUGGCAAGCGUUGUCCGGAUUUAUUGGGCGUAAAGCGAGUGCAGGCGGUUCCAUAAGUCUGAUUUGAAAGCCUUUGGGCCUACC
rnacentral:rRNA from 1 species